CUUUGAUAGACGGAAGCAUUGAUUGUUUUGUGCUCAAUUAAGCGCAUUAUUACUUGUGGAGAAAAUAAAGGUGAAGAUUAUUCAAGAUUAGCGGCAUUUCCAGGAGGGGAUAUUUCAUCAGUUCAACGGAAAAUAAUGAUAAAGGGGGAGCAUUCGCUGGGCGUUAACUAUGCUGAAUGAAACAUUGAGAAUUACAAAGAAAUAAAGAUAUUAUUGAGAAAUUGCAGACUUAUAGA